AACGUUGAUGUCUUAUAGAAGCAUAAUCCAUAGAUCUGGAGCCUGGGUGUCCUGGUCUGUCUCCCCAGCAGAGGGCAGCACAAAGUCUGCCUUCUUCAACUUCCAUAUUAAUCUGCAAAUCCCUCUCUACGUUGUUAUCCUUUCUGGGGUCGGAUUCAGGGGAAACACCAUCAUAUUCAUCUUCAUCGGUGUCCUCUUCACUCCACUGGACCCUAGCUGCGGUGUCUCGGGCCUCUGCUUCAGAGCAGCUCUUUCAGUAAGCAACAACUUUUCCUCCUUAUCCCUGGAGUUAAGAGAUGGCUCCAUAGUCAUCCACCAUACCUCCAGAGCCUCAAAGACACCCCUGGACCACCACACCAUCUUCCUCAGUCUUCUACCUGGUCACCAUCACUGUUCUGAAUUGGUGCUGGACACUUCUUACCUCGAGCCUGAACAGCUACUUUGGAUAAUUCUUCAAGCAAUGUUUUGACCCCAGGAGACUUAUUUGGCUUAGGGACUUCACCAGACCCUGCCCUCCUCUUGGCUGCUCUGUUUCGGGCACUACUUCACAGCCUUUUGAAAUUCUCAUCACUAGCUGCAGGCAAAAAUCUGACCAGUUUGAUCUCUUCACCCUUCUGGUUUUGGGCCUUUCGGCCUGACCCAUGUGUCUCCUUCUUCCUAGGAUUUAACUUGUGCCCAGUGAUAACUGAAGGCUCAGCUUGCCUGGACCUGGUUGAGACAGACCCAGUACCUCCAGCCAAGGCCUGCACCACGUGGUCUUGAGGAAGAGCUGGAAUUUCAUUCGUUAGUAUUAUAAUCAGCGCCCUUGAGACAAAUUUAAGCUGGUCUUAUUAUUUUAAGGAAAACUACAUAGGACAUAUGUUCUCUGUGGAAGUGAUAUUCUGCCAGUCACUUAUGAUAAGAGCCAGACAAUAAAAGUCACAGUUUCCAGUGAUAGGGCUCACUUUAAAGCUAAAGGGUGACAUGAAAAAUAUACAAGGAAACACCAAAGUUGUUAAUCUGGACUGCCUCACUUACUUAUUUUUAUCAUACUUACUAAUAGCAUACGAAUAGAAGGUUAUGUGUUGAAGCAUGACACUUCUGUGGUCCUUUUAAACAAUUCUGAUGGAAUGUGUCUCUAUGAAUGCUUUCAAAUCCCAUCUAGUUGAUCAUUUAAUCAUCUACAUAUUGUUGAAAAAGUAUAAGGUUGUCAUGACAACUAGAGAGAUAAUUUAGUCAACAUAACUCAUUCCACAUAACAUAAUAUUUUGCGUUUGUUCAAAAAUAUUUCUAUAAAUAUUCAUAUUCAGCAUUUUAAUAGUAUGCUUUACAUUAGAAUGUGUGGACCCCAGAAUUAAAUAAGACCUCUCAGUUCCUGACACUAUUGUCAAGUGCCAUUAUUCUUCUUUAGCUGAAGUCACAACCUUGGUCAUUGAAAGUAUUAUUCAUGCCCCCAGGCUUAAAUUAAGCUCUUGGGGAAUUUUUUCCUGACAUAGAGUUUGGUGAGCAUAAAAAUUAGGUUAAUCCUAAAAAAAAGGGUUCAGAGGAAAGAAUUCGACAUCAAAGUGGGCACAUCAUUCAAUUUACAAGACCUAUAAUGGGCAGACAUUGGAACUGGAAAAGGGAUGAAAGUCAAGAAUACUUUGUGGGAGUAAGGAGGAUCAUAGCUAGUAUCUAGUUAUGAAACUAUUAACACACUGGAAGAUAUUUCUUUAUAAUUUUUACUUCUUUCCUAGUGAGAAAAAGUAAGAUGUUCAUUCAUAUGAAUAAAUAUGUGACUAUAUCAAUAAAGUCAUAAGCAUUUUGGAAAAUUUUAUAUUGUUAAAUUGUUUGAAUAACAGAAGUAAAAGAACACCUAAAUUAAGACUAAAUAUAAUUUAUAACAUCAUUUCUUUUUCUUCAUUCAGUGAGUCAAUGCUUUGUGAAACAGGAAGUGUAAACAUACUCACACACAUUUCAGUGUUCCUUAGACAAAAGUUUAGAAUUUGGGUUAUGUGGGAAAAAUAUAAAUACAAGA
rnacentral:lncRNA from 1 species